rnacentral:lncRNA from 1 species
AUAGGUCUUAUAUAAAUUAGUUAAUAGCAGUAAGUUUAUCUGUGGCCUUUGCUUUAAUCAAAACCGAUGUCAAAAACGAAAAACACAAAAAUUUGAUUAAAGAGAGCAUUUCCUAAAAAGUUGCGCCGCGUGAUUGGAUUUGCUUCGUAGUAAUAUGGGGUGGAUCCUCUUAAGUGUGAUUUGCACGUAAACUCGUGUAAUUUACACAUGAAAGUUUAUACAGCA